rnacentral:rRNA from 1 species
UACGGUAGGGGGUGCGACGUUGUCCGGAAUUAUUGGGCGUAAAGAGCUCGUAGGUGGCCUGUCGCGUCGGCUGUGAAAACUCGGGGCUCAACUCCGAGCUUGCAGUCGAUACGGGCAGGCUAGAGUUCGGCAGGGGAGACUGGAAUUCCUGGUGUAGCGGUGAAAUGCGCAGAUAUCAGGAGGAACACCGGUGGCGAAGGCGGGUCUCUGGGCCGAUACUGACGCUGAGGAGCGAAAGCGUGGGGAGCGAACAGG